rnacentral:rRNA from 1 species
AGCAGUCGCCACGGGAAUACGGAGGGUGCAAGCGUUAUCCGGAUUUAUUGGGUUUAAAGGGUCCGUAGGCGGACUUAUAAGUCAGUGGUGAAAGCCUGUCGCUUAACGAUAGAACUGCCAUUGAUACUGUAAGUCUUGAGUAUAUUUGAGGUAGCUGGAAUAAGUAGUGUAGCGGUGAAAUGCAUAGAUAUUACUUAGAACACCAAUUGCGAAGGCAGGUUACCAAGAUAUAACUGACGCUGAGGGACGAAAGCGUGGGUAGCGAACAGGAUUAGAUACCCGCGUAGUCCCUGUCUCUUAUAC